rnacentral:lncRNA from 1 species
CUACAUCCUCCAGGCCCCUGUCUUCCCCUCGCCAAGCCUAGCCAGACGCGGCCGGCGGCCCCCGCGGCUCUAGGUCGCCGGUCGCUUGGCCCUGCGCUCGCCGUCCGGCGGUCCGGCCUCCCUGCCCCGGUGCUCCUUCGACUCGGCGACUCCCUCCACUUCCAGUACCCAAUCGGUAAUGCCCACUGUCCUCUCACUCUGCUUGCUCCUCUGCGGCUCUGCCCACUCUUCUCUCCCCGAAAUCUCUGUUCUUUAGUUUAGAGCUACGUAGUUGAUUAGUGUAAAAAAGCCGAAUUAAUCUGUCAUGAGUUGAGUACAAAUCAAAUGAAUAUGUCAUGAAUUGAUAUUCCCCUUCAAUAAUCUGCUGGUCCAAUUUAAUUUUGUACAAAUCAAAUGAAUAUGUGAUUAAUUGAAUAUCUUGAAGAUUUAAACAUGGGAGCAUCUGAUCAAUCAACCCUUUCAUUUGGUAUGUUGUCUUUUGCAAUGCAUUACCUUAGUAGUUGAGCGGUUGGAUAUUGUGUCCAAACUAUUAGCAAUUAUCUUGGAAUUUUUUUGGCCCGAGACGUGAGCAUUUCCUGGCUCAGCCAUUGGGUUCAGUCGCCUUGUGUAGCAUGACCUGCUCCUAUGCAGGGAGAGGGAGUGAGCGAGGUUUGAUUAGUCCAUCGAGUCGUAACAAGACUUCCCGUCAGUUGGCGUCGAUGAUUCUCAACACUCUUUGUUGGACCGGUCCAUACUAGACUUCCCGGACUCGACCCUAGGGGAUCCCUGAACUAUGCUCCCUAGGCCCUCCCCCGAGUUUAUUCAAAUAACGGUGAAAUAACUUACAACCACCCCUUGGGGGUAUUUCUAGCCUUAUAUAUGGUCCAUGACAAUUGUCAAAUGAACAUGUAUGCCCAUUGGCGAGAGGGUAUGAUGGGAAGAAUUUCCUGAAUUUAUUUUAGUCCUAUACAAAAAAACACAUGGAUAUUAGAGUAAGUUGCAGAGUUAUAUAGUCCAGAGCAAAGCCAAGUUCUAAGAAAAAAAAUUGGAGGCAGGAACCGCCACAUUUUUCAUAUAACAGACGGAAAUCAUUAUCUAUACAUAACCAAUUAACCAAGAUGCGGUUUUAGAGUAAGAUCCAGAGUUAUAUAGUCCUGAAAAAAGCCAAGUACUAUGCAAUUUUUUUGGGGGGCAGGAACCCGCCCCAUUUUUCAUUUAAUAGAUGGAAAAACAUCUUGAGCUAUACAUAACCAUGAUGCUCAAUGACACAUGAGACUUACAAACACACACAAGCAACUUAUAGUUCAUUUAGAUACCCCAGUUGGCUGCAGAGAAAAGAAUGUCCUCACAUUUGAAUACAAACACAUAUAGGAGCGUAAUCAAGUUCUUCGCACACAGGCAGAAUAAAAAAAAAUUAAAGCAUGCGUGAAUGGAUGAACCAAUCCUGCUGAAUUGAUGGACAGCCUUGUAAGCUUGAAAUGAAGGAAGCGCAGAUGCACUUGCCUGCUUGACCUCACUAGCACCAUAUUCCAUUAUCAUCAAUGAAGUUUGGAUGUGCUUCUAUGGCUUGCUUCACCUGAUCUGGUAGCCUGAUACCAUCACAGUACACCCUUGAACCCAUAACACAAUUUAUCCUUACAUUUAGACACCCCAGCUGGCUGGCUGCAGAGAAAAGAACCUACAUUUGAAUACAAACACAUAUAGGAGCAUAAUCAAUUUCUUCGAACACAAGCAGAAUAAACAAUAAAAUAAAGCAUACGCGAAUGGACGGACCAAUCCGGCCUGCUGAAUAGAUGGAUCACCUUGUAAGCUUGAAAUCAAGGAACCGCAGAUGCACCAUAUACAUCAAUGAAGUUUGGAUGUGCUUCUAUGGCUUGGAACACCUGAUGUGGUAGCCUGAAAUCAUCAUUGAGCACCAUUUUGUUCAAUUUUGGAAGGUUGUUGAUUCCCGAGAGAGAUUUUAUCUCAUCGAUGAGCCAGACGAUUGUUUCAAGUCUAGGAGUUUCCCCAGUUUCGAACUCGAUGUCGGUGAUGCCGCCCCCCUCAACAAGAAGGCACUUGAGAUUUUGGAACCCAUUGGUCUGGAUUAUAAGCUUGCUCUCAGAGUGUAAUUUAACGUGCCAGAGCUUGAGGCCACGUAGGUUGGGCAAAUCUGCGAGGGACUCCAUACCAUCCUGGUCCAACAAGGUGUUAUGAAGAGUUACCUUGGCAAGUUUGUGGCAGCCUCUAGCAAAGAAUGGGAGAAGACGCCCAUACAUUGUGAGCCCACUGAUGCUCAAGCUUUCAAGAAGCUUGGGUGUGUUCUUACAAUGUGCACUUAUAGCAUCGGCGUCAGGAGGAGUAGCAACCGCCUCGCUGGCAGGCAGAAGCUUGAUCUUGAUUGACAGUGACACAAGGCACUCAUUCAGAUCGCUGAUCCCUUGGAGUAAGUUGUCAAGUUGAGCUUUCCAGUCGUAAAUGACCACACCAAACACCUUCAGUUGCCAUAGCUGGCCAAUCUCUCUCAGCUCGGUAGCAUGAUGUUUCGAUGCCUGGACAUGGACAACACUUCUAGGUCCGUCAUUUUCCUGACCUUGUGAGGCAUCAUGACGGUGGAAAGUAUGUUAGCAUCACCACCAGUGUCUUUGAAGCAUGCAUUUUGACCAGCCAGCAGACGCUUCAGCUUCAGUAGCAUGAGUUGUUUUAUGGCGGAGGUGUUCAUAGGAGUCCGCCGGAUGUCCAACACCUCCGGCUGUUGCAGCCUGUUGAUCUCCUUAGGCAGCUGAGUGACAUCUGUGUUCCGUAGGCUCAGAUACUUGAGCAGGAUUAACAAGGUGCACACGUUCCUAAGCCAUCGUUGGUUGUCUCUCAGGGAUGCACAGCCUUCCAGAUCCAGGACCUUGACGAGCUUUAAUUGAGAUGAUGCAUUGGAUGGUUGCUUCAGGAAGUUGACGAUGUUGUCUGAGGGACGGAGCCGGAUGUUGCUGAGAAUGGAGAAGUGCGAGCCAAGUGCCGAGACAGGUGUCUAUCCAGAAUGUGUUCUUUCUUGGCCAUCUUGGUGAUGAAGCUGUACACCGGUGGAUGCCAUGUAAUGCUCUUGACCUUCCCUCCAGCAUCAAUGUCACUAGGACAGACAAGCCAUAGGUCGGCAUGAACAUCAAAGCAACGCUCCGCCUGACCUACUGAACUUGACCAAUCUUGUCUAGCUAUCAGUCCUUCUGCAACCCACCUACCUAUUAACCUUGUCCGGUUUAUGUUCUCGUCUUUGUGGAAGAUUGCUAGAUACAGCAAGCAGGUCUUGUAAUCCCUAGGCAAGUCGUUAUAGGCGAACUUGAUCAUCUUGUAGCAAUUAGUUUCCACGGAUCCUCCAAACACGAGGUUGUUGCUCAACUUGUCGAGUUCUUCUCUGCGCCUCAUUGGAUUGACAAACAGAGCAUGGAUGAACAUCUUUAUGCAGAACACAUCGGGCCUGCACUUCUCCAAGAUCUCAUGAAAGAUUGUGGCAUGUGCUUGUCGUCUUUCACACACUGUUUUGUAAGUUGGAGCGCUGUAUCAUGGUAGUAUUCAAUAGAAGAGUAGAUGAUAGGCUCUGUCCCAUAGCAAUACUCAUUUGCAUUUUGCUUGUAUUUUGUGGUAACUACUACUGCCAUUGAACUGCAACCCAAAUCUCGCAAGGCCCUUGCGGUCUCUUCCCAUUUGUAGCCAGAGGCGUUUUGGAGAAUGACCAGUGUCGUUUUACCCUUUAGAUGCUUUCUAACACUCCCCAUGGUUUCUUGAAUCAACAGAUGCUCUUUGAUCCUCUUGAGGACUUGUUUGAUCCGCUCCCUGCAGUACUCCGCAUCCUCGCCCGGCGAGUGGGGUGAUUCUUGCGCUGAUUUAUCUUG